GACGAACGCUGGCGGCGUGCUUAACACAUGCAAGUGGAGCGACGAACCAGGCUUCGGCCUGGGGCAGAGCCGCGAACGGGUGAGUAACACGUGGGUAACCUGCCUCGAUGACCGGGACAACCCGGGGAAACCCGGGCUAAUACCGGAUGUGCUCCUUCACAUCAGUGAAGACAGGAAAGGAAGCUUCGGCCUCCGCAUCGAGAUGGGCCCGCGGCCCAUUAGCUUGUUGGUGAGGUAACGGCUCACCAAGGCUGCGAUGGGUAGCUGGUCUGAGAGGACGAUCAGCCACACUGGGACUGAGACACGGCCCAGACUCCUACGGGAGGCAGCAGUGGGAAUCUUGCGCAAUGCGCGAAAGCGUGACGCAGCAACGCCGCGU
rnacentral:rRNA from 1 species